rnacentral:rRNA from 2 species
CUACGGGAGGCAGCAGUGGGAAUAUGCACAAUGGGCGCAAGUUGAUCCAGCAAUGCCGCGUAGUGAAGAAGGCGUUCGGGUGUAAAGCACUGAAGUCAGGAGGGAAGUAAGCGGCUAACCCUCGCACAAGACGUACUACAGAAAAGCACAGCUACACG